UACUAGUUGAUGGCUGUCUGACCCAGCACACUCACGUCCUUGCCAUGUGACCCUGGACAGCCCAGAAAUGCGACCCACUAAGUCUGACAGGGGACAGAAAGACCAGAGGAAAAAUGUUUGCACUUGAAGAACCUAACCCAAUGCUUAAAACAUCAUGGGUGGCUCAAUAAACAUUUGACAGAGCAAAGAUGGAAGGAAAAUGAGGAAGAGAUGGACACACUCAUUUACUCAAUUAUGUAUUAUGUAAUAAGUGGAAUUCUAGUUGUCUGGGAUUGGCAAUGCACCCACUUACAUAAUUCAUUGUCUGAGUGAAAUCAUCGUGGCUAUCACCAUCACCAUCAUCCAUUAUUACUCAAAUAAUCAUUUUCUUCUUCAAAA